UACGUAGGUGGCAAGCGUUGUCCGGAUUUAUUGGGUUUAAAGGGUGCGUAGGCGGCUGUUUAAGUCAGUGGUGAAAGCCGAUCGCUUAACGAUCGAACUGCCAUUGAUACUGGAUAGCUUGAGUACAGAUGAGGUAGGCGGAAUUGACAGUGUAGCGGUGAAAUGCAUAGAUAUUGUCAAGAACACCGAUUGCGAAGGCAGCUUACUAAAGUGUCACUGACGCUGAGGCACGAAAGUGCGGGGAUCAAACAGG
rnacentral:rRNA from 1 species